rnacentral:rRNA from 1 species
GAUCCUGGCUCAGAGCGAACGCUGGUGGCAGGCUUAACACAUGCAAGUCGAGCGGGCGUAGCAAUACGUCAGCGGCAGACGGGUGAGUAACGCGUGGGAACGUACCUUUUGGUUCGGAACAACUGAGGGAAACUUCAGCUAAUACCGGAUAAGCCCUAACGGGGAAGAUUUAUCGCCGAAAGAUCGGCCCGCGUCUGAUUAGCUAGUUGGUGAGGUAACGGCUCACCAAGGCGACGAUCAGUAGCUGGU